GACACUGGCCUGGUUCAGUGAACGCUAGGAUCCAGGCCCCUCUGCUCAGCUGAAGAGCAUCUGGGGGGCAAUGCCCCUGCUCCAGGUCAACGACAAAGGCUUCCUCUCAGACCUCAAACCCCUGAGGCUGCCGCUCACUCCUCCCCAGCUCCCCUAGGGACCCAUGGGGUGCGCAAGCCACUCUCAGCUCCAGGUGACUCUGACUUCAUCGUAUGCAUCAAACUCUGCCUCCUGAAGAUGAACUAUAUUCUCAUAGGCCUCUCAUGAGACACCUCUGC
rnacentral:lncRNA from 1 species